rnacentral:rRNA from 1 species
AAAUUGAAGAGUUUGAUCAUGGCUCAGAUUGAACGCUGGCGGCAGGCCUAACACAUGCAAGUCGAACGGUAACAGRAAUCAGCUUGCUGMUUUGCUGACGAGUGGCGGACGGGUGAGUAAUGUCUGGGAAACUGCCUGAUGGAGGGGGAUAACUACUGGAAACGGUAGCUAAUACCGCAUAACGUCGCAAGACCAAAGAGGGGGACCUUCGGG